AUCCAGCUGACGAAUCCUAAAUAGGGCGAAAUGAGCGUCCUGGAU
rnacentral:hammerhead_ribozyme from 1 species